GGUAGUAUAAGGUCCAACAUGCACUUCACUUAUAACUGCCCCCCAAAUGUAUAACUUCACACCAGUCUAUCAAUUAAUAACUGUCACUGGACUUUAACCAUGGACUAUUUGUCUCAAUAGCAUUUUCACUGUUCCUAAAACAACAUAUGACUUGGCAAAUGUCCGUUUGCCCAGUUGCACAAAAAUCAAAUGCAUUAAAUAAUUGUAAUUGGAGCCACUGCUUCUGAAAUUCACAUUGUACAGCUCCGGUGAUUAAACUUCACAACAACACAACUCUGGAAAACCUCUAAAUAAAACCUGCAAUCACACCU
rnacentral:misc_RNA from 1 species